AAAUAGAUUCUCAGCUCUGGUAUAAAUAGGUAUGUGGUCAUUGGGUGGACUGCCUUAAAAUAGCUUCCCAUGCUGUGGUAUAAAUAGGUAUGAGGUUAUGAUCUGUUUAUAGUCGGUUCCUAGAGGUUGUAUAUAUAGAACUUGACCAUGAUGUCAUUCUUUUAUUAGACUGUGUUGGUGUUUAAGUUUAGCAUCUAUAGUGUAGGGAGUUGGGUUUAGUAAGUGAUGUCACUGGUCAAGAAUAGUUUGCUGGCCAUAUAUAAAGGGCUGUUACCUUAGAGUAGGGGUUUUUUGGACAUCGAGUGGUUAGAGGAGUUUUCAGAGUGAGUGGAACAAGGAGUUAGUUUUAGAGAGUUUUUAGAGUUAGUGCUUAGAGUAUAUACAUUCAUGUACGUAGGUCUUAUUAAUUGAGAGACAUUGGAUUGUUAUGUGCUUAUUUUAGAUAGAGUGUAUAGAAAUGUAUAGAUUAGUUUAGUUUAUGGUUUUGAGUCUAGUUUAGUGAUAUGUAAUUAGGAACUUUAAAGAACCUUUUAUUAUGCAAUUAUUUUCUUCAUCUUGGUUACUCCUAAAAGGAAUUGGAGUGGAUUUUAUUUAGAUACUGCUGGAAUUUAUUCAACUUCAGGCUUUCUUAUUUACUUUGUGAAUUAUUUGUGAAUUUAUACGUUCUACUCCUGGAGUAUAUAUUGGAUUGGAAUUUGAUAUAGUAUCUUGGUUGGCAAGUACUUUGAAUGAAAGUCAUAUCUUAAUAAAACUGAAGGAAUUUUA